ensembl:lncRNA
AUGGACAUGUGCGUGCUGGUUAACAGACCUGACAGAGCCCCGCUUCUGCGUUGCUAUCAUUGCCAUCAUCUUCAAACCGUUCUUCUGGAAUGUGGUGGCCAGAUGGGAGCACAGGACCAGAGGCCUGACCCGUCUGUUUGGAGGUCCAUAUGUGGCCUGUUAUUCCCUCGCUGUGCUCAUCUUGCUCUUCAAUGUUUACCAAAGCCACAGAGAUCUGAAGCAACGUGUGUGAUUUCAUGUCCACACUGUCCUCGUCAGUCGCACUGUUACCUAACCUCAGUCUGAAGAAACCAGGAGUUGGAUCUCUAUAGAGCACAGACCAUUCACGGAGUAGAUAUAUCAGCAGAGGAGCCAGACCUGCAAGCACAAAUAAAGAAGGA